rnacentral:lncRNA from 1 species
ACACCGCUUUCUCCGCGCGCUGAUGGAGGAUUCCUGGCCUCACAGCAGUGCCUGGCCUGUGGGCGUCCCCGGCAGUCCUCGGCUGCGGGACCUGUAUCGGGACUGCGCAAAGUGGGCUUCCAGGAGAGCAGGGCGUCCCUCAGUCAGCUGACCCCUUGGAGCGUGGGGCAGCCCAGGCCCGUGAGGCCGCCAGUGUCACCCUCAGGCCCGCGAGGCCCCCGAGCCCCUUGUGGGGUCCAAGGCCCAUUCUGGAUCAGUCACGAGGCAAGACCGCGGACCCUCAGGAGAUCACCAGGAGCCCGCCGCGCAUUCCUCCGCCUCCACCACGCCAGUCACCUGCUCAGCCCGAGGGCAGCCAGCGGCCGUCGCCCCAGUGAGGCGGCCGGUGAGGAGCUGAGGCCGUGACCAGGGCAGCGCCCCGCGAGUCAGCGUCAGUCCCCGCGCCAGCCAGUUCCUCAGACAAUCAGCUCACCAUUCCCAUCGCGUAUGCUGGGAAAUCAUCAAUAUACCCGCUGUCAUGGAAUUGCAGAAUCGUUAUCCAAAUGGCUUUGACUUUUACCACUACUCCCAGCCAUGCACCAGAAUUCCGGUAGCUGUACACCUUUAUUAACACUUGGUAUUGUCAGUCUUUAUAUUUUAACAAUUCUAGUGAGAGCGUAGUGUCAUCUCUAGUGUAUUUUGAAUUUAGGUACCAUCAAUUUCAUCAACUGAGUAUUUCUCAUAUGCAAUUAUUUGAGGUUUGACAGAUGUAUGUAGCUAUAUACCCACAACCACAGUCAAGACACUACCAAGUGCCAUUACUUAAAACAUUCCCUCCUGAUGUUCCUUGGUAGGCAACUGUCCCUCCCUAUUUAAUUCCUGUAAAAACACUAAUCUAUUCUCUACCCUACUGAUAUGCCUUUUAAAGAAUGUCAUAUAAACG